rnacentral:rRNA from 1 species
UAAGUAGUGUAGCAAUACAUUGCCUAGAGUGACGUACGGGUGCGUAACACGUAUGCAACCUACCUAUAACAGGAGGAUAGCUCGGGGAAACUCGAAUUAACCCUCCAUAAUAUAAUUGAAUGGCAUCAUUUGAUUAUUAAAACUCCGGUGGUUAUAGAUGGGCAUGCGUCUGAUUAGUUAGUUGGCGGGGUAAAGGCCCACCUAGACGAUGAUCAGUAGGGGAACUGAGAGGUUGAUCCCCCACACUGGCACUGAGAUACGGGCCAGACUCCUACGGGAGGCAGCAGUAGGGAAUAUUGGUCAAUGGAUGCAAGUCUGAACCAGCCAUGCCGCGUGCAGGAAGAAGGCCUUCUGGGUUGUAAACUGCUUUUAUCGGGGGAUAAAAUGACUGUGCGCAGUUAAUUGAAGGUACCCGGUGAAUAAGCCACGGCUAACUACGUGCCAGCAGCCGCGGUAAUACGUAGGUGGCAAGCGUUGUCCGGAUUUAUUGGGUUUAAAGGGUGCGUAGGCGGCCCUGUAAGUCAGUGGUGAAAUGCUCCAGCUUAACUGGAGAGGUGCCAAUGAUACUGCAGGGCUUGAGUACAGAUGAGGUAGACGGAAUUGACGGUGUAGCGGUGAAAUGCAUAGAUAUCGUCAAGAACACCUAUAGCGAAGGCAGCUUACUGGGCUGUAACUGACGCUGAGGCACGAAAGUGUGGGGAUCAAACAGGAUUAGAUACCCUGGUAGUCCACACUGUAAACGUUGAUUACUCGCUGUUUGCGAUACACUGCAAGCGGCUUAGCGAAAGCGAUAAGUAAUCCACCUGUGGAGUACG